rnacentral:tRNA from 1 species
GAAGUUUUCUGAUGAUCGUGAGGUUUUCUAAGCCAACACUAGAAAGGUUUAAUUCCUAUCCACUUCU